GUGUGUUAAGGGAGGACCGGACACGCGUGUGCCAGGGAGGAGGAUGCCACCACGCUCUUCGAAGAUGUGCGGAGUUGUCGUGCCUGAACGGUCACCGUAGCUGCCUUCGAGGAGGAUUUGUGCCUGCAUCUUAAUGUUCGCCAAGCCCAUUACAUCGCUGGUGCGGGACACACAACAAAACAAAUCUGAACCUCAGCGACAUAUUUGCUGGGAGAGAAGGAGGAUAAAAAGUGCAGGUCCUCUUCACAGGAUAGACCUUUUAUGUGUCAUGUCGACAAGGGUGUCUUUGAUAAGAUAUCCAAGCAGGCUGCAUGUGAGGUGAAUCAAGGUAACUACAUGAUGUAGUGAAGUAUAAACUCCUCUCCCUGUGAAUUUUAUGCCAGCUGGGCUUCAUUUUAAUGCUUGAGUCCUAAUAUUUCAUUUCUCCAAGCUUUUGAGUUCUAAUACUGUUGUAUUAUGAGGU